AGAUUUUAAAUAGGUUAUCCUAGCUAACGUUAGCUAUGUAGACUAAGUUAGCUAGCUACUGCUAUGAUAGCUAGGUUAAAAAACGUUCACAUGUAAACAUGCAGUGGACGGGCUAUUUUGAAAAUAUGAUUAUAUUAAAUUAAUGCACAAUUAAUUCGGAGAAUAUUUUUGUAGAUUACAAUUUUAAUGGUUUGGCAUUUAUAAUAAGUAGUGUGAAAAUAUAUUUAGAAAUGUUCAUGGAUAACAUUAGUAGUGGAGAGAAAGGAGAGGAGGAAGAAGAGUGAAGUGAAGGAGACAGAGGAGGAAAUGUAAAGAUAUGGUUACAAAGCCUGCCAAUUUAUUAUUCCAAACAAUGUUUUUGAGAUCAAAUACAAAAAUGAGGCAAGCAAUGGGAAUCUGUUAACCAAAGUAUUUUAUCUAAUAGUAUGCUGUUUAUUAAUACAGAUUGGAGAGAAAGGAGAAGGAAAAAUUAAGGAAGUAAAAAGAGUGUAGAAGAGUGAGGUGGAGAGGUGAAGAGAAGGAAAAGAAGACGAGUGAAGAAAAGAGAAGGAGAAAGAUUUGAGGAGAAGAAAAGGUUAAGAGAGUAAGAAGUGUGACACAAGGAGAGUGAAGAACAGACAGAGGAGAUACAAUGACUCUUUCCAAGAAACGGAAAUGCACUUUUUAUGAAAAACAUGAUGAGAGAAUUUCCAUUCAUACGCUCAGGUCAAGACGAUAGAAUUGUUCACCGCACCCUUUGUAAUUCCUCUCUUUCAAUUGGCAGCCGGAGAAGAACGGCAGUGGUAGAACAUCAGCAGACGAAAAAGCAUAAAGCCUCUCUGAUUGCCCGUGUUGGUAUGCCCUCUGUCACCACAUUCUUCAAGAACGUAGAGCCUUCCCAAUAAGAAUAUGGUUUAGCUGUGCAGGAGGGUGUCUUUGCAUACGUGUGACACAAUCAUAGUUACAGAUCUAUGGACUGCACAGCACAACUGACACGGAAGCUUUGUGAGCCAAAGUUUACAUGUGCUAGGACAAAAUGUGAAGCCAUAGUGAGUAACGUGUUAGCACCAUGGGCGACUACUUUGGUAACACAGGACCUAGACCAGGUUGAAUGUGUGUCCCUGUCCAUUGAUGCGUCCAAUCAUGGACAUGUAAAGCUGCUGCCAAUAGUAGUCAGAUAUGUAAGAUAUAUGAUGGCAGCACAUCUGUGGAAACAAAACUGAUUGAUUUUGUUGAAUUGAAUGGAGAAACAGCAGAGGAAAUUGCAGCUGAGGUCCUGGUGGGCAUCCAAAAAUGUAACCUGGAAAACAUUCUCUGCCGACAACAAAUACCAACUUUGGAGGACUGAAUAGGCUGGAGAGGGUCAAUGUCCAUAACAAAGUAAAAAAUACUCUGCAGCUGGAAGUGAUUGACUUAGGUUGUCCUGCCCACAUCAUUCAUAACACGGCCAGAACAUGGAUAUGAUGUUGAGUACCUGCUCACAAAGAUAUUUGGAUAUGUUUAUAUUUUCACCGUCAGAGUAGAAAGACUGAAGGGCUUUUGUGAGUUUGUUGGCCAGGAGUACCAUAACAUUUUAGGACACAGCAAUGUUCGCUGGCUGUCCAUGCUCCCUGCUCUAGAAAGAGUGCUGAAAAUGUAUGUGCCAUUGAAAUCCUUUUUUAUUUCUGAAGACAAAUGCCCUGUUGUCCUGUGAACAAUGUUCGAAGAUCCACUGACUGAACUUUGGCUGGCCUUUGUCCAUGGAAACUUGACCGUAUUCAGUGACACGAUCAAGAUGCUUGGAGGCCAGGACCACUGUGCUGUGGAGUCCGCUGCAAUUCUGAGAAACGUUGAGGCAAAAUUCACUGGAAGACGUGAUGACAACUUCAUUCCAGUUUUGGUCAGAGGACUUCUGAGAGAGCUAGAGGAAAAUGGAGCCAUGUCUAAAGAGAGCUUUUUCAAAACAUCACAAUCAUUCUUCACUAUGGCUGUGAACUACUUGCAAGCAUGGGGAAAGCACACAGAAAAUCUAAAAGAUUUACAUGGUCUCCUUUUAAAAAGGCAACCUCUGCGUGAAGAGAUCCAGAAGGCAGCAGGCACACUGCAGGAAAAAUGCCCCAAUGUGACCAUCAAUGAGGAUGCAUUGUGUGACGAGGUUACUGGCCUGCAAGAGUUCCUAAAGGGGGAUCGCUUGAAGAAUGGAAAACAUCUGAGACACCGCUUAGUCAGAGAUGGAGCACGGUGGUUACCCACUUCAAAUAGAAUGACAUCCCACACACUAACCUGGCUAGAUUAGCGUCUGUUGUCAUGUGCUUACCUGGAAGUAAUGCACCAGUCGAGAGAGUGUUCUCCCAAAUGAAUGAUCUAUGGACAGCAGCAAGAAAUAGGUUCACUGUUCCUACCAUCAAGGCCAUGCUUAUUGUGAAGAUAAACUUCAACCUCCCCUGCCAGGAGUUCAUGGAGAAGCUGGCCAAAGACAGAGCAAUCCUGAAGAAGAUACAUUCUUCUGAGAAAUAUACAGAUUAGGUUGGUAUAAGUAUAUUAUGUAGUUACCAAUCUCAUCAGCAUCUUAUUUCUUUAUUAUGUUAAGUAUUUCACAUGUACUAUUGUCUGUUUUUUUCAAUUUUGCUCAUGUUUUCUUCUGCUCUUAUUCUACCAGGACCACUGAAUGGCUGUUCAGAUCAGACAGUUCUGUCUUGUCUGUAGUGUUUCUGUAAUAUAGUUGUUUUCUCUGUAUCACAGUGUGCCUGUAAAACUAAAUAAAUUAAACUGGAAUUGUCCCCCUUUUUUAUUUCAUAGAUAAUAUAACAUUGCCUAUUUUAAUUAUAUAUUGACCACCGAACUGGAAAUGACUCCGGUUUUCAAUUCAGAAAUCUGGUCACCUUAUGUUACACGCAAAUACGAGCGUUUCUGCAUCUCACCGGUAGAAACGGGCCAGCUACAUUUCGUGGUUGUAAGCAAACGACAAUAUCCAGAUUUCAUAGUGAUUUCAGGACGUAGUACCGCACCGUGGAGAUAUCCAAUUGAUGUGAGAAAUAUAAAAAUGUCUGUGUUUGUAACCAGCACUUUCAGCCAGAGUAUUUCAAAACGGAACUGACGUCUCAACUGAUGAUUUUGCCAUGUCGUCGACUGUUGAAAAGUGAUGCAAUUCCAUCAAUUUCCUCCUUCACUUCAAAGAGGAAGGGAUCCAAUCCGCCAAAAUCAACGCAGCAGAAAAAAGGUCAAGCUGAGAGUCCGAUUCCAACAACAUCAGCAGUGGCAUCAAGCUCAGCACCAGGAACUAGUAGACUAAUCCUGCUGCUGAUGAUUAAUCCUGCCGACCAUGACCAUGACACCAGCUUUAGUAGUACAGAGCCUUUAGACCCAUUGGAUGACAACAUUCAGAUUGGAAUAAGCUCAAGGCCAACAUCAUCUGACUUUGAACCAAGCCAGAACAGCCAAGGGAGACUUGCAGUACAUAUAAAUCAUCUGCAAGAGGUCAAAGCAGUGGGUGGUGAAGAACAUCACCACAGCGCCAAAGCCUGCUAAACCAGCUGCCAUUACCCAACACGACGUUCAGCACAAGAACAUUCUGGAACCUGCCUGGAACAUUCAACCAACGAAUCAUCCAUAUUCAGUGUGACUGAUGCUGUAUUAUAAUAUAGAAUGCCUAGUAUGGCCAACUGCAUUGUGGUAUAGUUAUUGCUAGCUGUUGAACAUAUGUAUAUAAUGGUGUUUUAUAUAUAUAUUUUUUACAAGUGUUCUGACAAGUGACUAAAUGAUUCCAGCUGCAUCAGAAACCAGUAGUGCUGACUUUAAAUUCAUUGUGAUAUUCAUGAAAUGUACUUGGGUGAACUAGCUACAAUCUUACUGCUAAAACAAAUGAUGAAGGGUGGUGGUGUAUCAUUUAAACUUGAAUUUGUUGGCAAGUAAACAUGUUAAAAUAAAACAGAUUUGUCUUCAAGACAAAGUUUAUUUGCUCUGGAGACCGAGGUGAGUUUACAUGCAGGAAGUUAUGGCAAUGUAUGACAUACUGUAUAUACAGGAGAAAAAUAUAUACUAAUGCUUAUAAUAAAUACUAGUUCUACAAUGGGAA